GAGGGGAGAGAAAGACGUAGAAAAACAGACAAGGAGAGAGGGCAGGAGUGGGGGACACAGGUACUGGGAGAGAGUAGAGACACAGAGACAAGAGAGAAAAGGCAACAAAGACAAAGCCAGAGACGCCCAGCCCGAGAGACAGAGCCACACGGAGAGAAUGGAGAGGGGAGCAGGGUCAGAGGGCCCGGACGACGCAGAGAAGGACGCGAAAGGACGUGAGAGGGACUUCCCCCAGGGGCAGGGAGAGGCCUUGGGCAGCUCCUCCGCUGGGCCGGGCUGCCUGCCUGCUGGACUCCGGGAAGGAGGCAGUGACCGCACCCAUCUGGAAGCUGUCAGGUCCCUCAAGGAUGAGGGCGUUGGGAGGAAGCCAGACAUGAGCCACGUCUAGAGAGAGGAAGCGGCGGGAUUUGAAAAAGAUGGCCCUCCUUCUGGGAGAGCACCCACUGCUCAUCUGAAUUCUAGAGAACCACUCAAGUGCAUAUAGACGGCAUCCAUCCUAAGAAGGAAAGUGCUCUCUAAGAAGCCACUAUGCCUGAAAUGCCACCAUAUGUAUACACCAUUCCACUAUGGAAAACAUUGCCUUUUCGGGGCUCUUCCUGUGAAAUGCAGGCCAUGAGCUCUUGCUGGACAUACCAGAACAAAGACAUAGUCUCUUCAAGAUGGCAUUCACAGCCAUAGGGCAGGACGACAGGUGGGCGACAACCAUAGCCAGCAGAAGAGCAGACACUGGAACAGAGGUUCAAACCAACAACUAUGGAGCGAGCUGAGCCUUUUAUUGAAGCGUAAUACAUAUACAGAAAAAUUCACCUAUCAUAAGUAUGCAUCUUGGUAAAUUUUCACAAGGAAUAUACCCAUG
rnacentral:lncRNA from 1 species